AUCCUUCUAGGUCAUACACGUGAUGAUUGGUUUAUUCACGGAUGUCCGUGAAGAGUGCAGCCUUCUUGUUACGCUUGGCACUUAAACCAUCUGACA